UCAAAACAAACAAUUUGUAUCCUUUUUUAAUAUAUUUUAUUUAUUGAUUGAUGAAAGACACAGAGAGAGGCAGAGACACAGGCAGAGGGAGAAGCAGGCUCCAUGCAGGGAGCCCGAUGCAGGACUCGAUCCCAGGACCCCGGGAUCACACCCUGAGCUGAAGGCAGACGCUCAACCACUGAGCCACCCAGGUGCCCCCAAACAAUUUGUAUCUUUGGCACGAGUUUAGAUAUGUGUGUGGUCAUAGUGAGAGACGCGUCACGGAAAUUGAAUUUGCCAGGAAAGGAAAGUGGCUUAUAGAACAGUAAAGAAUGAACGGGGCAUCCUGGCAGUCCUGGACUUAACAGGCUACCUCCUGGGGGAGGACCCUCAGCCUGCCUCAGGUCACACGGAGCAGUGGGACAAACCCCCCUUACACAGUCCUGGUUUUGGAUCCAAGCAUGUUGACUUCGAACAGGCCCCGAAGCCUCCCUCCACCCCAGCUCCCUCGGCUGACCCUGCGUGCAGAGCAACGUCCUUGCCAGUGACCUCUGGAUAAAUCCUUUUCUUCCUUGGACUCCAGCACCCUGUGAUCUUUAGUCCCUUUCAAAAUGCAGGCCAACAGCACCUACUUUUUGGCACUGUCGAAUAUGUUAAAAAAUAAUAUGUGCACAUUUCCUGGAACCAAGCGGUGCUCAGUAGCAGGGCCGUGCGAAGGUGGAGGCCGACCCGGGAGAAGUGGAGCCAGAGCAGGCAGAGAAGCAGUGAGGCUUGCGGCUCCCCCUCUCCCUUCUAUGAUGACUGGUUCCUCCGAGGAGUGGAGCAGACACUUCUCUUCUCCAAGCAAACCAGUAAAGGUUUGUAUAAUCUUUUAAAACUGUGGGCCUUUCAAUUAGUUCAGACACGGCUGCUUACUCUGCGAUGCUCACGUUACACAUUGUCCUUACGUUCACAAGUCCUAGCUUUGUCCACUUUUGUCCAUGCUCGUUCACCAAAUGUUUAUUUAACACCUACUGUGUUCAAUUUUUUCAUGCAAGAGGAAUUAUGUCUAGAUCUCUCUAACUUUUCAUUGCGUAGGAGCACAUGAAGCACAGGGCCCAGGCCCAGCACCACUCAGCUGAAAGACGGGUGGAGAGAGGACCCUGAGUACAGAUGACAUGGAUAUCAGGUCAGAAGAUUCCAGGCUGCAUUCAGAGUAAAAUGCCAACUUCUUGGUGUGGGCCCUGCUGAUGGCUCCAGGAGCUCCUCUCCCCACUCUGCACCAACUGUUCUAAGAGUUCAUACAUUGCCUUCUAGAAGCAGCCCUAGAGCUUCCAGCCCCCUCUCCAUCCCCACUGCACCUACCACAGCCGGCUAGACUGAUGCUCCUCCUAGACACCAGUGGCUAUCAAACUUUACCUGAGUCACCAUAGGACUUGUUAGAGCACAGUGCUGGGCCCGCCCCCAGACUUUCUGAUUGAGUAGGGCUGGGGUGGGGCAUGAGAAUUUGCUUUUCUAAGAAGUUCCCAGGACUGCUACUGGUGUGGGUCCAUGAUACACUUAGAGCACCGCCACUCUAGACUACCAGUUCCUUGAGGAGAAGAACCCCAAUUUCUUUUAUUGGGUUAUCCCUGGCACCUAACACAGAGUCUGACAUAUGGUAGAAAUUCAAACAGUAUCUAUUGAAUGGAAGCCAUGGGUGAACUAAUGAAUCCCUUGCCAUUUCAUUUGAAGAUUGACAAAUUGGUCUCACAGUAUAAGAAGAACCCAAGACACUCCCCCGUUAAUAUUAAGCUCCCUCGACAAACCAUAAGAGACUCUUAAUCAUAGGAAACAAACUGAGAGGCAGCUUUUUCUGCCCACAGGUCUUGUCCCUGUACUAUAAUAAAAUAUAUAUAUAUAUGUUUUUGCACCCCCCCCCCAAAAAAAAAGAAAGGAAACAAACUGAGGGUCGCUGGAGGGGAAGGGGGUUGGGGGAGAUGAGGUAACUGGGUGAUGGACAUUAAGGAGGGCACGUGAUGUAAUGAGCACUGGGUAUUAUAUAAGACUGAUGAGUCACUGACCUCUACCUUUGAAACUAAUAAUUAUAUAUGUUAAUUAAUUGACUUGAAUUUUUAAAAAUAUUAAGCUCCCUCUUAGACAGAGGCUGAGAGCCACUGCGCUGGGCUCUGAGCUACAGCAAGCUGACUAUCUGGUGCUGUUGAAAGCUGCCGUAUGAAAAUCUUACCCUUACUACAUGAAAUCCGCCCCCAGGAUCAGAGACUUGGUUUGAUUGGAGAUUAAAACAGUAAACUUUGGGCAGCCCGGGUGGCUCAGUGGUUUAGCGCCACCUUCAGCCCAGGGCGUGAUCCUGGAAACCCAGGAUCAAGUCCCACAUCAGGUUCCCUGCAUGGAGCCUGCUUCUCCCUCUGCCUGUGUCUCUGCCUCUCUCUCUCUCUCUCUCUCUCUCUGUGUCUCUCAUGAAUAAAUGAGUAAAAUUUUUAAAAAAGAUUAAAAAUAAAAAUAAAUAGUAAACCUUCUCUUCUGUUAAAUAUCUCUUCUUUGACAGUAUUCAUAUGU
rnacentral:lncRNA from 1 species